GCCUGGGUGGCUCAGUCGGUUGAGCGUCCGACUUCGGCUCAGGUCAUGAUCUCGCGGUUUGUGGGUUCGAGCCCCGCGUCGGGCU
rnacentral:tRNA from 1 species